rnacentral:rRNA from 1 species
ACAGCAGCCGCCGCGGUAAUACGAGGGGGGCAAGCGUUGUUCGGAAUUAUUGGGCGUAAAGGGUGCGUAGGCGGUUUCGUAAGUCUGUUGUGAAAUCUAUGGGCUCAACCCAUAGUCUGCAUCGGAAACUGCGAGGCUUGAGAGUGGGAGAGGUGAGUGGAAUUUCCGGUGUAGCGGUGAAAUGCGUAGAUAUCGGAAGGAACACCUGUGGCGAAAGCGGCUCACUGGACCAUUUCUGACGCUGAUGCUCGAAAGCGUGGGGAGCGAACAGGAUUAGAUACCCGCGUAGUCCCUGUCUCUUAUAC